GAUGAACGCUGGCGGCGUGCUUAACACAUGCAAGUCGAACGAAGCUUCCGGACGGAUCCCUCCGGGGAGAAGGAAGGAAUGACUGAGUGGCGGACGGGUGAGUAACGCGUGGGAAACCUGCCCUAUACAGGGGGAUAACAGCCGGAAACGGCUGCUAAUACCGCAUAAGCGCACGGUGCCGCAUGGCGCAGUGUGAAAAGCUCCGACGGUAUAGGAUGGUCCCGCGUCUGAUUAGCCAGUUGGCGGGGUAACGGCCCACCAAAGCGACGAUCAGUAGCCGACCUGAGAGGGCGACCGGCCACAUUGGGACUGAGACACGGCCCAAACUCC
rnacentral:rRNA from 1 species